GGGCGUGUGGCUCAGUGGUAGAGCGUCCGCUUUGCAUCCCAUCUUGGAUCAGAUUGCGGAAGGUCCGGGUUUCGAUCACCCGCCCGUCCA
rnacentral:tRNA from 1 species